rnacentral:rRNA from 1 species
UGCGUAGGCGGGUUGCCAAGUCUGUGGUGAAAUCCUCCGGCUUAACCGGAGAACUGCCGUGGAUACUGGCGACCUCGAGUGGGGUAGGGGCUUGCGGAACUGUGCGUGGAGCGGUGAAAUGCGUUGAUAUGCACAGGAACUCCGGUGGCGAAGGCGGCGAGCUGGACCCUAACUGACGCUGAGGCACGAAAGCCAGGGGAGCGAACG